AUUACUAUUGCAGUCUGACACUAAUUAUAGGAAGACACUGACGAGACACCGAGGACUUCCUUUCUAGGAACACGAGAGUGUCUGCCCGAAUGCUUCCUCUGCUGCGCACAUGCUGUCACUGGGGCCUCCCAGUGGUCACUCGGACAAUCAGCCACUGCGUGCUGAGCUCCUGCGCGUUGGGCCGCCCGCCACACACACAUCCUGACUACACAGAGCACAGAGCCCAGGGUGAAUUCGGGAACUGAACAAGUCCACAGACUAAGUCAUUACAGCCUCUCAGCGCACUUCCUCCCGUCCCCCACGAGGAAUGUGGUUCUGCUGUUUUCCCAAACCCAGUCUGACCCAUCGUCUACAUCGAUGGUCCGUCCACACAUCUUUGGCACCUGGAACUGAUUUUGUGGGAAACAGUCCCCUCCCUAUGGUGGGAAUGAUUUCGAACGCCGAGAUCCAGCCGCGCAUGUGCAGUUCACAGCAGAGGCCGCACUCCUGAGAUUUGAACACCGAAGCUGAUCUGACCAGAAGCCGAAGCGGGGCUCAGACGGUGAUGCCCCGCGAUGGGAGCGGGAGCGGCUGGAAUUGUAGAGAGAGCUCUGCCCAAUUGCUACCACUUACCUCCUGUUGUGCGGCUUGGUUCCAAUAGGCCACAGAUUUAGGACUUGGGGAACCCCUGCUGGAGACAACCAAGUCCUCCCCAUCCCACACACCCAGCUCAGCCCUCUCCCCACUGAGUCUCCCCUCUCACCCCCGCAGGAAGAGAUUUUGCCUCCUCUGAACUCAGGCUCCAACAGGCAGGUGUGUGUGGUGCUUUCGAGCCAGUGAACAGAAUGGAUGGAGGACCCAGUGGGUAGCCCCAGUCCCUAAGUGUGUGUGUGUGUGUGUGUGUGUGUGUGUGUGCCUGUGUGUGCUUCACGUGUGUGCACAUGCCUGCGUGUAGUGUGUACGUGCCUGCAUGAAGCACGUGCAUGUGCCUGUGUGUGUUCAGCAUAUGUGUGACCUGCACGUGUGUGUGUGCAUGGUUGGUGUGGCAGAGCCAAAGCUCUCCGUGCAGCCCUUGGCACCAGCAGACCUCGACCUCCGCCAGCCCCCUCUGCAUCUCUGUCCCCGUCUCGUGGUGUCCUCUGCACUGUUUUCUAAUCGCCGUCUUUCCACCACUCUCCCCUCAUCAUGCACCGCACGUGGGUGUCACCAUGUCUGAGUCCCAUCCCCUGUCCCCCACCUCCACAUUCUCAUUGGUGUGCUCAAGGCCCCUCCGGCCUUGCCCUAAGGGAACAGGCCACUCCCCGCACCCUGGCUCUGGACUCCAGUGUCCCUGCCUCGGGCCACCUUCCCUUGCCCCUCCUCUGUAAUGAGCCCAGGCCACCUGGCCCUCCCUGACAUCAUCGGCUGCCUCUUUCCCUUGGGAGAGUACUUAUGGCCUAGACAAGCUCAGGAUGUUUAUUCGCUUCUGCUUUCCUCCCUGAGGAAAGACUCCUUGUCCCUGGGGCCUGGAGUGCUGCCUGUAAGCUGUCAGGGCGCUAGCUCAUGAGCCGCCAGGGAAUCAUGCUAAGAUGUAGGCUCUGAAUUGGAUUUCAGCUGGACACCUGGGGUGGGUGAGUGCUGCUUUCUUUCUGUUUGACAUUUUUUUCUUCAGUACUGGGGACUGAGCCCAGGGUAGGCAAGUGCUCUCCCACCGAGCUACAUCACAAGCCUGUAUGAGUGCCUGUGAGUGUGUGUGUGUGUGUGUGUGUGUGUGUGUGUGUGUGCAUGAUACUGGGAUUGAACCCAGGGCCUUUGCUAUAUCCCCACCCCGUUUUAAUUUUUAUUUUGAGGCAGGGCCUCACCUAAUUGCUGAGUUGCCUGGGUUGGGCCGAGUUGCUGAGAUGUUCUUGGCUUGGUCUCCCAAGGCUGCAUCCUGACAGCGCUGGGUGCCACUGACACAACCUGAUUCUGUGCUGUCCAAGUAUAAGGUCCCAGAACAGUGGCUCUGCAGAGUGGCUCUUAGCAAGGAGUCUUCCAAAACUGAUAGAGUGCAGGGCUGAGUGCUCCACCCCAGAGCAGGUCCUGAGUUUCUUGCCUCAGUUUCUCUGGCAGUGCCUUCCUUGUAAGGCUGCUAGAAGGCUGAGUGAGUUAGCUCACGCUGCCUGUACCACUGAGCGGGUGAGUGGUGACAGGUCGUGCUAGGCUAGGCAUCGCUUCCAUGGCUGCCACAUCUCUGCCUCAGCUGGUUCUUUACACUCACACCCAACCAAAUGACCCGUCUUCUCUAACUUCCUGUCCCAGAGACACAAUGAUUAAUACUCACAACCUAGGCGAGGAGAGGUGCAUUUGAGCUCACGGUUUCAGAAGGUUCCACCCAUGGUUGGCCAGGUCCAUGCAGAAGCAGCCUGGGGGAAGGGCCCGGGGGAAGACAGCCACUCACAUCAUGGUGGAAAGAAAACAGAAAGAGAGGGGCUAGGCAGGGAGACAGACCCUUCCAGGCCACUUGCCUCUUCCUCCCAGGCCUCGCCUCCCAACAGCAUGUUUAGGUCUGGAUUCAUUGGUGGAUUAAUCUACCUAUGAGUAUAACACUUUCAAGAUCCAGGCACCUUCCAAAUGUAUGAGGAUCUGAGGGUCAUUUUAGACCUAAUCCAUAACAUGCACUCAUGUAACAGUUGUAUUUGUCUUUUCUGGCAAGGUCUCACUGUGCAGUCCAGGCUGGCCUUGAGCUCACUAUGUAGCCCCGGCUGCCCUUGAGCUCAUAGCCAUUCCUCUGUCUCAGCCCCCUGAGUGCUGGGACUACAAGCAGGCACCACCAAGUCAGGUAGUAAACAUAUUACUGGCUGGUGGCAUUUUCAGCUGCUGGGGGUUCCUCAGGACAUAACCCCCAAAGUCAGCCAAGGAGCUUCUGUGCAUAGAAAUCCAGGGAAGCCGACUGUGUUGAAAUGUGAUUAUCCACUGUGCUGUAGUGACAGAGGGUUUUGUUGUUCAUUAAAUGCCGAGAUCCGUGAUAGGUUUAAUAGCUGUUGUGAUUUCAACAUAGCCAAACACAAAUGACGUCUCAGGCUGCCUGCCACAGCUCCAGGGAGAGGGAAGACACCUGGGGCUCGGCCCAGUGGCUGUCACAGGCGCUGCUCUUCACUGUAGCUCGCGCUCCAUACACUGAACCCCAAGGAAAACGGGGGUGUCUGCUGCUCGAGCCCAUGGCUGCACAUCACAGCUCUUUAGACAAGGCUGGAGUCAGAAGCCAAGUCCGGGGUGCGGAUGUGAUGACCAGGGUGCAGGCACUGUGGCUCUGGGUAGCAGGAGAGAUGCUUUGCUCAAGACUGUCACCUCCACUGCCUUCCCAAGGCCAAUGUGCACGGUGGGUGGAAGGGAGAACUGGCCGCUGGCAAUGGCGACCCAAAAGAAGUCAGGCUCCAGGAGCCCUGAGUCUUUAUACUAAUAAACUCUGUCACUUGCUGCUGCCACACUCAUGGAAUCCAGCCACACAUCUCUUCUGCAAGUGAGUCUCCCAUCUCUGUUUCAGAGGCAAGGCUCGGGGAAGACAAGCGUUUGUCUACGGUCACACAGCCAAGAGGCGAAGCUGACCAAGUAGCUUCUGUCCCUCUACUUAGGAUCCUUGCUGCUCUAAGAAGUAGAAAUGGGUUUCCUGUCUUCACAGUUGUGGCUGGUUGGGUUCAAAGCCAGGGUUUGUUUGUAUUUCGUAUCUGGCUGCUUCCUCUCUUCCCUCCCCGCUCCAAGGAAGAGCAGUGAUGGGAAGAUAUGUCUGUGACAGAGGAGGUCAGGCAAGCCUCUGGGCUUGACGUGAGGACAAAGAGGAAAUAGGUAGCACAGAAGAUGAGGGCCAUGACAACAGGGGUGUGGCUAUACAGAAAGUGCAUGAUCUGUACAGGUUCUGGGGUCAGCUGGAGUUUAAAUUCUAGGGUUAUCACUGAUCAGCUACACAGACAUGAUGGAACAUCACAUUGUGAGCUUUAAUUUCCCCAAACUCAGCUGGGUGUGGGGGUGCAUGCCUGCAAUCCCCGCAUUCCGGGAGGCUGAGGCAGGAGGGACUACAAAUUCGCAUGAGCAACUGAGUGAGACCCUGUCUCCAAAUAAAAAAUGUAAAAAGCACUGGAGAUGUAGCUCCAUUCAAAAUCUUGAGUACUGAAGAAAAACAAUCCCCCCAAACUAAGAUUAUAAAAAGACCCGUGUCCCAGGAGUGCCAUGAAGAUUUAAUGAGAUAAAGCCGGUGAACACUCAGUGCAGUGCGUGGCCCCUGGCAACUGCUCUGAUCCCCCCACCAGCUCUUAGGAGACACGGACAGCAUGCAAACAAAUCCACAAAAGCACUGCACGGGCAGGUCCAGCUGCUGCAACAAGCUAGGGGCACCGGUGUGCUCUCUUGGGUGCAUGGCAGUGAUUCAACCUCCGUUACACGUUAGACUCCUCCAGGUGCCCUGCAAGCCCCAGACCAAUUAAACAUUCAGGGUUUCUGGGGACGUACCCUCCAUCAGCAGCUGUGCAAGAGGCACAUGAUUCUGAGGUCAUCCCAGGCCAUGAGUCACCCUCCCAGUGGUGGCCUCAUCAGUGUCCGGAGCAGUGGGAGGAGUGGCUGAGCAGGGGGUGAUGAGGGACUCUUGGGGGGACAGAGAAGAUCCUAGUGCAAGGUAAAGAUGAGGGGUGGGCGCCAGCCUGGGAAGAGGCAGGCUGGAUAAAGACCUGGAGGUGCAGGUGGAGGUGAAUCAUUUGCGAAUUGGAGUGAGCUAAAGACCAGCGUUUCCGGGAAGGAGGCUCAGCUGGCCAGGUGUGUGGCCACGGGGUUCAAGUAGAUGGGUAAAAGGAGCAGAGAGGGAAAAGGGGGGCUUCUCCCAUGCCAGGGCCCAGUGUUAACUCCACCAUGGCUGUGGGGGAGGAUUCACAGCCUGCAUCUGCGUGGAACUAACGGUGUGGGCCAGGAUGGUGGCACAGGUACCCAUCCCGGCCAGAAGGGAAAGACAGCUGGUGAAGGAUACAGAGCUUCGCCAGGGUCUGGAUGCCUGUGUCCCCCUCUGGCCCUGUGUGAUGGUUUUUGGAGGUGGAGCCCUUGGGAGAGGCUAGGGUUUGGGUCGGAAAUAUCCACCCCAUGCUUCUCGUGUUAAAGGCAUGGCCUCCAGUUCAUGGUGCUGCUGGGAAGUGAUGGACCCUCUAAGAGACAGAGCUUAGAUGGAGGAAGUGAAGUCACAGUGGGUGCCCUCAAAGAGGAUAUUAGAACUGGGGUUUCUUUUCCUCUUUGCUUCUCAAAUGCCAGGAGGUGAGAGGCUUUAUCUGCCACGUUCCCCCCCAUGCUGUGCUGCCUGGACACUGGUCCCAAAGCAACAGGACCACCAUCCAUGUGCGGAUAGCUCCCAGACUGUGACCCAAAGUAACCCUGCUCCUCAGGGGCUGUUUAUCUCAGGUGUCUUGUUACAGUGACAGGGAACUGACUAGUACAGAAAACAAGAACUGGGGUUAUUAGUCUAUGGAGAAGUCUGGAGAACACUGGAGACUGGGGCUGGAGAAAGGAUGCUGCUAAUAGUGGACAUUAAAGAGCAGUUCUGGUGAGGACACAGCAGGCCAGAAUGUUGACAGGAAUGUGGACAGCAAAGGCCAUUCCUGAGCUCUCAGGCGGAAGUGAGGUCUCUGACCAGAACUGGACUAGUGGCUUCUUUGGUACACGACAGAAGAGAAUUUGACUGCAUUUUAUCCACACCCUGAGACUUUAUGGGACACUGAGCUUCCAUGUGACAGACUGGUUUAUCUGGAGGAGGAAAUUUCAAGGCAGCACAGCCUUUUGGCGGUGACAUGAAUACGGCUGGCUGCUUUGGGCAGAUUUAUAGUGAGAAUCAUGAGCAAAACAGCAGAGUGGAAAGAUAUGAAAAACUUUGCAGUUUGGCCAGAAAGGGAGUGUGUUUUGAGGUACUGCUAAGGGGGAUGAGGUUGCUGGUGAUCAACACCACUAAAAAAGCCAAGUAGUUUGCACCAGUAAGAUUGGAAAGACAACUUGGGGACAUGUCAGAAAUCAGAAAAACCCCAAA